rnacentral:tRNA from 2 species
GGACGUUUAGCUCAGCUGGUUAGAGCGCACCGUUCACAUCGGUGAGGUCGCUGGUUCGAUCCCAGCAACGUCCACCA